rnacentral:rRNA from 1 species
UACGGGGGGGAGCAAGCGUUGUUCGGAUUUACUGGGCGUAAAGGGCGCGUAGGCGGCCACCGCAAGUCGACUGUGAAAUCUCCGGGCUUAACCCGGAAAGGUCAGCCGAUACUGCCGGACUAGAGUUCGGAAGAGGCGAGUGAAAUUCCCCGGUGUAGCGGUGAAAUGCGCAGAUAUCGGGAGGAACACCUAUGGCGAAGGCAGCUCGCUGGGACGUUACUGACGCUGAGACGCGAAAAGCGUGGGGAGCAAACAGG